rnacentral:lncRNA from 10 species
CACUCCCUGAGUAGGUAAGAGAAAGAAAUAUCUAAAAGGCCUAGGAAUGUGGCAAACAAUAUAGCCUGUAAAACAGUGAUUUCUUUGUACCGUCGGGACCACUGCUAUGAAAACCGGCCUUAGAGGAAAAAUGAGUUAUUGUACUUUUACCUUAAUCCACAUCUUAUUUUUGCUGAAUUUGUCUUGACCCUUACUCUCCGGCAUCCUAGCUCUAUGAUCUUGCUCAAGUUAUUUCACCAUUCUGGGCCUCAGAUUUCUCUCUGGACGAUGAAGAAUAGUAGUACCUCAUCACAGAGCUGCUGUCAGGACUAACAGGAGAAAUCCCAUAUAAUGUACCUAGAAUAUAGAAACCAGUCACUAAACAUUUUUCAGACUCCAUAGAAAAAGAGAACAGAAAAACGUAUUGGUCAAACAUAUUGGUCAGUUCUUUCAUCCUGUAAUUGCUAAGGCAUAUAUGAAAAUUACCCUGUCAUCAUGACCCUGUCUGCCUAAGAGAAAAGCCAUAUAUGCUACUACAGGGGAACAGAGAAUGGCUUCUGAGUGCUCAGAAGAAGAAAUGCUACCAUCUAAUUAGAGUCAUCAUGGACAGCUUUAUUCCAGAUCUCCAUUUGAACAGACUCUUACUGGAUGUAUGGCAGAUGUGUAUGGAGAUGUGUUGUAAAGCGCAGAAAUGUGGAAGCAAAAAGCAAAAACGUAGGUAAAGGUAGAUACUAAAUUCAAAACAGCAAUUCAAAACAGCAAGUAACUCCGAUGAUUGGCAUUAAGUAUAGAGUGAGAAGCACUGGACACUUAUGGUGAAAACAUUGCCUAGGUCGAAGAGAGGACUUCAAUGCUAAUCUAAGACAUUGUAGAAAAUGGUGACAUUUUGAGCCUUCGGACAUAUGAUUAGUGUUACUCUUUAAAAUAUCAAUAUAUCAUUAUUGUGCAUGAUGGUAUAAAGGAGAAAGGAUUAGGGCAGGAAAACCAGUUUUAAGAGUAUUUUUCUUAUGUAGACCAUCAUAUCUGGGAAAGUUACCACAGUGACUUUGAGCAAGAACAAUUUGGAAGAGGUAAUGCUUUUGAAGGUGAUUUAAUAAAAAUAGAAAACUAGACUUUCAAGGAAAUUGUAUGGAAAACACACAAAUUGCUCUCUGAGAUUUCAAGCUUGUGUGGGUGAACUCCUAUUAGUGGGCAGAAGGAUUUCCAAGAAAACAAAGCCUGUUCAGAUACACGAUAAGAAGAUAAAUUCUGGCUAUAUUCAUUUUGAGAAACCAGAAGCAGUCAUUUUUGAGAUUUGAUGUCCUUGUGGCUGCUAAAAAUGAAUG